GAUUCACUCACCUUGACCACCACGGUCUGUGUAUGGAAACAAACACACAUCACGGUAUGUAACACUUGAAGCUAAUUAGCACCUUGGGGCAAGUUGUUUACAAACAGAAAACAAUAAGGAACAUGACAUAUAUCCCCAGCAGUGCACUGUGCGCUACUAAUCCCAAAGUCAGCCAGAUCUUUUUCUUUGCUAUGUCUUUGGCCUUUCCCAUUUUUAAAGGAAUGAAUCAUACUCAGAGAAUCUGCUCAAAAGUUGCCCUAAGCACCAUUUUGGCAAGGUCUGGGUAAGACAUUUUCAUGUCCAAGGCGAAGGGCAAGACUGUACCCUCUCCCCUUUCUACAUACAGAAGCCAACAUACAGAUAGCACUCCCACACGCCCAAGGAAGAGAAGAAGGUACCUUGUAUUGUGAUGAGUCAGACCAUUGAUUCAUCUAACUCAGUGAUGUCUACACUGACUGGCAGUGGCACUCCAGGGUUUUAGACAGGGGACAUUCCCAGCCCUCCCUGGAGAUGCCAGGGAUUGAACCAAGGACCACUUUCGUGCAGAUCUCUAGCUAUGGGCCAUGCUGGCUGGGGCUGAUGGGAAUUGGAGUCCCAAAUUGCCCGGAGGGCCACAGGUCAGCCAUGCUUGGGCUACACCUCUACAGGCUUUACCCAGGCUAUGACUUGCUCUUUGAGAUACAUGAUGGGACACAGGACCACAGGAAGUUAUCUUAUAACAAGUCAGAUCAUUAGUCUAUGUUCAGUGUUGUCAACACUGACUGGCAGCAACUUUCCAGGGUUUCAGAUGGAGGGCAUUCCCAACUCCAGCUAACAUUGUGGGGAAUCGAAUUUGGGACCUUCUGCAUGCAAAGCAUGUUCUCUACCACUGAGCUGUGGCCACUCCAGGACAGCCCAAAAUGCAAGCGAGUUAACAUAUAAGACUGCAUACCCCAAUGUAUGUUGGACAGAUAAUAGGGUCACUGUGGGCUUCACAAUCUGGUCAAGGGAGAAAGGCACUGAUUGACACUUUGCCUAGGCUAACUUUGCUCUGCUACAUGAGCAGUCGCUGUUCUGUGGAAUAACAUUUUCUUCAUAGCUGCCAAUUCAGAACCCAAAAUGCACAUAUGAGACUUGUUUUUUUAAAAAAACCACAACUAACUGCAUCAAGCUCUAAACCUUAACAGAGGGCAAUUUGCUUCUAUUUGAAUCUAGAACUGUCACUUUUCAUUCCAGUUUUAAAAGGAUGCAUUGCAACAAGAACGAUCCCUUCAGAGUAUGAUGACAAGAGCUGAAGUAACUUUUGCACACAUUUGCAGCCUGAACACCAGCACUGAAAAUCAAUCCUCCUUACCUAAGCUAUAAGGAGGCAGUGGCAGGACAAAUGAGUAGAGAGGAA